rnacentral:rRNA from 1 species
CCUACGGGGGGCAGCAGUGAGGAAUAUUGGUCAAUGGGCGCUAGCCUGAACCAGCCAAGUCGCGUGAAGGAUGACUGCCCUAUGGGUUGUAAACUUCUUUUGUAUGGGAAUAAAGUGCAGUAUGUAUACUGCUUUGCAUGUACCUUAUGAAUCAGGAUCGGCUAACUCCGUGCCAGCAGCCGCGGUAAUACGGAGGAUCCGAGCGUUAUCCGGAUUUAUUGGGUUUAAAGGGUGCGUAGGCGGUUUGUUAAGUCAGUUGUGAAAUUUUGGGGCUCAACCGUAAAAUUGCAGUUGAUACUGGAAGCCUUGAGUACAGUAGAGGUAGGCGGAAUGCGUGGUGUAGCGGUGAAAUGCUUAGAUAUCACGAAGAACACCGAUUGCGAAGGCAGCCUGCUGGACUGUAACUGACGCUGAUGCUCGAAAGUGUGGGUAGCAAACAGGAUUAGAUACCCGAGUAGUC